GUGUGAAACGAAUUUCGAUAUUCCGCGAUCGCGACCUUCUAAAUAACACAGUUGACUGUCACUGCAUUCGCCGAGGACGCCAUUAGAAUGAGAGACGCGGGGGUGAACACGUCGUGACACGAGACGUACGAUUUUGGGGAGAAUUGCAGUACAUACAAUAGGAAUUUCGGUACUCCGUGUACACGCUCGUCGUGCUGACAUCCUUGUGAACAGCCAGGAACAUCCAGAAGUGCAGAAGAUCUUCCAGCAAGGUUUAAAGCUCUCUUACAUCAGACACGACUGCAGUUUCGACGAAAGCAGUUCUGCGUUAACAGAAAAAUCUAAUUCGCGUUUCAAGAUGUGCUAACGGAAUUUGUGGAUGAUCACAUCGGAUGCAGAUGCAGUUUCAAUGAAUGCAAAUCGAAGUAAUCGACUGAGUUAAAGCAUCGUCACGUCGACAAUCUGUAAUGGGAUAUGUCCAGCCCUAAUGACUCGACGUUUGUGUCCAAGGCUGAACUAGAAAAUGGGUACUUGUAAGUAACAGAAAAGUAAAAAAUGAAAAGGAAAGGUUGGAUCUGAGAGAUCCUAUGUAUUCUAUUUUGUUCUUUUUAAAUUUUUGUAAUAUCUUCAGCAUUUUUUUCUAUUAGCUGUUAUUUAAUCUCAAUACUCCUCAAUCAUGAGAGAUUAUAUAAAGUUUGAGAAAUUAUAAAAGUACAACAAAAAAAGAAAGAAAUUCUUCAAAUUCCAUCUUUCCAAUGACAAAGGUGAUAGGUGAAAUAUUUUAGUUAACAAAUGAAAAAUCUCAUGAAAGUCAGUACGUUUUACAAUAGUUUGUAUAUUUUUUGCAUGUUUGUGUCGUCCCCAUCAAUGAUAAACUGC